UCUUUAAGACAGUCUGUGUUAAAGAGUUUGAUUCCCGAAUUUCAGUGACAGAACCAGAUGCCAACUUCAGAAGAACAUGUACGUGGGGACAAUAAGGAAAAGACCCAAAAGGGAUCCCAAAAAAGACCACGCAAAACAGAAGAACUGGCCAAUGGGCCCAUGAAGCACAAACUGGAUUUCAAGCUUGAUGCUGCAAAUAAGAGACAGAAGACUGAACAUGCAAUCAAGACUGUCCUGUUAGAUUGUCCUGAUUACUGCAAAAGCAGCAAGAUCCAGGCUUUGGGGCACAGACUGCAGCCCUAUGUUCUUAGAGACCACCACAGCUACUGCAGAAAGAGCAAGCGGAUCAGUAAGAGCAAUGGGGCUGGUGUAGAGCUGAUGUGAGCAGCCACAAAGGUGGCCUGGUUAGAAGGGGAAAAUUACUGAACAAAAUAAAAUGCCUGUCAGCCUGGGAGCUGUGAGCUUGGGAGCUGUGAGCCUAGGAACUAGGCCUUGUAAUCAGAAACAUCCUUGAAAAGUGCAGCUAGCCUCUUUGAAGUACAGCUGGGUACCUAGAAACUUGAGACAUCCUCAGAUGCCAUCGAUAAGCACAAAAACAAGGAACUGUAACAGCAACUUAUCGUCUGAAAAGGUGAAAAAUAGUCUGGAAAAAGGGGAAAACAUUCUGAGAAAGUAAGAAUCAAUAACUGCCAUUGGCUGUUCUAACUGCAAGAACAGGAAAACAGUCUGGAAAAAUAAAAAUUGGUCCGAAAGAACAGAAAACAUCAUCAUCUAUUAGUUGUUCCAGGUGAAAAAUAGAAAUUAACAGCAUCUAUUGGCUGCUCGAAGUAGUGGUGUCCUACACCCUCUUAUGUCUCUAUGAUAUAAAAAGGACUUAAUUUUUAUCCAAAAUGGGGCUUCUCUCUCUGAGAACUUCCUGUGCUGCACGUACUUUUCUUUUACUAAACAGGUUGAAUUCCGCACAAGCUUUCUAUGAAAUCUUGGAUUCUCACCAGGGACACCGGACUGACUCCAAGCUCUGUGAUAUGGAUCAUCUUUGAAGUGAGACUCUGUUUGUUACCUUAUUGGUCCUCCUCUGGGCCCACUUUUGGGGUUGGUUUGGUUUGUCCUCCCCUCUUUUGGGGAUGGUUGUGUCCCCCUCUGGGAUUGGUUUGACCCCUUCUGAAAUCUAUUAUCCAUAUAAGUAAUCUAUCAUAAGUAUAUCUGCUGUUAUAUUGUUAUAUAAGUUUGCUUCACUGUGGGAAAAUAAUGGAAGAUUGGCGAGGAGGAUUGUAAACACGCUCAAGUGACUUGCAGCUGGGGUGUCGAAAACACAUAUAUCAUACUAAUUGUUGUUUAGCCUUGUGUGUUGGACAAGAUGAACAUCUGUGUUUAGAUAACAUAGGCCUGUGAUAGACUCAGAGGCACCCUAUUGAACAUGCUUGAGAUUCCUGCCCUGCUGUGGGAAAGAUCAAAGCACAGUGGUAAACUACGCCUGCGUGAAUCCCUGAUAUACAAGUGAAAACAGCAGGUUCGGCGAUCCUCUAGCAUGGACCGAGCUCCGUGAUGCCUGCCUCUCCGCUUGUGUGCCUCUGCCCGGGUGCUGCUUCAGGGAUCCCCUGGUUGGCGAGGUAACGAAAAUAAAUUUACUCUUUGCAUUUCAUCCGUGGUUUUGUGGUUGUUCCUGCGUCCUGCCUGUGCCGGCUCACACAUUCACUAAUGAUAAGUUUGUAGUAACAUGUAAUAGUAUAUACCUACUUGGUUGUUGCUGUUAUUGGUUGUUGCUAUAAUAUUGACUGCUGCCAUACUAUUGAUUGCUACUAUAUUAUUGAUUGCUGAUAGUAAUUUGUAAUAGCUUUAUAUAUAUAUAUUCACUUUAUUAAUCAUAGGUAUACUUGCUAGUGGUGAUUUUUGUGGUAUUUGUGGUAAUCUGUAAUAAAGCAGAGAAAUUUAGA